GAAAUGCGAUAAGUAAUGCGAAUUGCAGAAUUCAGUGAAUCAUCGAAUCUUUGAACGCACAUCGCGCCCGCUAGUAUUCUGGCGGGCAUGCCUGUCUGAGCGUCAUUUCAACCCUCAUUCCCGGCUUCGUGUCGGGGAUGGUGUUGGGGAUCGGCCUCCCGGUUGCGGGCGGCCGGCCCCGAAAUAGAGUGGCGACCACGCCGUAGCCUCCUCUGCGUAGUAGUGAAAACCUCGCAGGCGGAGAGCGGUGCGGCCUGCCGUAAAACCCCCAACUCUUCUAAGGUUGACCUCAGAUCAGGUAGGAAUACCCGCUGAACUUAAGC
rnacentral:misc_RNA from 1 species